rnacentral:misc_RNA from 1 species
AUUUUCCUGUGCCCAUCUGCAUGAUGUCACAUGAUGUGUAUUUUAAUACCCUUAGGGCAGUGAAGUCUGAUGGUGGUUAUAAAAUGAAAAAAGAGCCAGGCCAGUGGAUUAUGGACUCUUUGAUUUUGAUGUCCCCUGGAGCCUGGAUAAAGGAGUCUACUAAUAGUGCAGAAUUCGAUAUGUGCUGUGCAAGUAGCAGAAGAGGCAAUGGCAUAGUGAUUGUUAUAGGACCUGGAAGAAUAUGAAGAUA